UUUAAAUUUAAUUUUUUUAUCAAAUUAGUAUUAGUUAAGUUCUUGAAAAUUAAAAAUUUUGGCGGUAUUUUAGUCUUUUCAGAGGAACCUGUUCUGUAAUUGAUAAUCCACGAUUAAUUAAACUUUUAUUAUUAAUUUGUAUAUCAUCGUAUAAGAAUAUUUUAAAAGAAAUUUAAUAUUCAAUAUUUUUUAUUUAAUUAUAAAUCAGAUCAAGGUGCAGUUUAUAUAAAAGGAGAAAUGGGUUACAAUAAAUAAAUUUAUAUGGAUAUGAAAAUGAAGAUUUUCAUUAAAAGUGGAUUUGAGAGUAAUUUUAUUUAUUUUAAUAAUUUGAUUUUAGCUCUAAAAUAUGU
rnacentral:rRNA from 1 species